rnacentral:rRNA from 1 species
GACGAACGCUGGCGGCGUGCUUAACACAUGCAAGUCGAACGGAAAGGCCCUGCUUUUGUGGGGUGCUCGAGUGGCGAACGGGUGAGUAACACGUGAGUAACCUGCCCUUGACUUUGGGAUAACUCCAGGAAACUGGGGCUAAUACCGGAUAGGAGCUCCUGCUGCACGGUGGGGGUUGGAAAGUUUCGGCGGUUGGGGAUGGACUCGCGGCUUAUCAGCUAGUUGGUGGGGUAGUGGCUUACCAAGGCUUUGACGGGUAGCCGGCAUGAGAGGGUGACCGGCGACAUUGGGACUGAGAUACGGACCAGACGCCUACGGGAGGCAGCAGUGGGGAAUAUUGCACAAUGGGCGGAAGCCUGAUGCAGCAACGCCGCGUGCGGGAUGACGGCCUUCGGGUUGUAAACCGCUUUCGCCUGUGACGAAGCGUGAGUGACGGUAAUGGGUAAAGAAGCACCGGCUAACUACGUG